rnacentral:rRNA from 1 species
AUUGAACGCUAGCGGGAUGCUUUACACAUGCAAGUCGAACGGCAGCGCGGACUUCGGUCUGGCGGCGAGUGGCGAACGGGUGAGUAAUGUAUCGGAACGUGCCCAGUAGCGGGGGAUAACUACGCGAAAGCGUAGCUAAUACCGCAUACGCCCUACGGGGGAAAGCAGGGGAUCGUAAGACCUUGCACUAUUGGAGCGGCCGAUAUCGGAUUAGCUAGUUGGUGAGGUAACGGCUCAACAAGGCGACGAUCCGUAGCUGGUUUGAGAGGACGACCAGCCACACUGGGACUGAGACACGGCCCAGACUCCUACGGGAGGCAGCAGUGGGGAAUUUUGGACAAUGGGGGCAACCCUGAUCCAGCCAUCCCGCGUGUGCGAUGAAGGCCUUCGGGUUGUAAAGCACUUUUGGCAGGAAAGAAACGUCGCGGGCUAAUACCCCGUGGAACUGACGGUACCUGCAGAAUAAGCACCGGCUAACUACGUG